rnacentral:rRNA from 1 species
AGAGUUUGAUCAUGGCUCAGAACGAACGCUGGCGGCAUGCCUAACACAUGCAAGUCGAACGAGACCUUCGGGUCUAGUGGCGCACGGGUGCGUAACGCGUGGGAACCUGCCUUUAGGUUCGGAAUAACUCAGAGAAAUUUGAGCUAAUACCGGAUAAUGUCUUCGGACCAAAGAUUUAUCGCCUUUGGAUGGGCCCGCGUUGGAUUAGCUAGUUGGUGGGGUAAAGGCCUACCAAGGCGACGAUCCAUAGCUGGUCUGAGAGGAUGAUCAGCCACACUGGGACUGAGACACGGCCCAGACUCCUACGGGAGGCAGCAGUGGGGAAUAUUGGACAAUGGGCGAAAGCCUGAUCCAGCAAUGCCGCGUGAGUGAUGAAGGCCUUAGGGUUGUAAAGCUCUUUUACUGGGGAUGAUAAUGACAGUACCCAGAGAAUAAGCUCCGGCUAACUCCGUG